rnacentral:piRNA from 1 species
UCAGAUUUCUUCCUCAUCAGGGGAGUUUGC